rnacentral:rRNA from 1 species
CUGCCGGCGACCGGCGCACGGGUGAGUAACACGUAUGCAACCUGCCCUCCGCAGGGGGAUAACCCGGAGAAAUCCGGACUAAUACCGCGUGGUACACCAGUGGGGCAUCCCACUGGUGUUAAAAGGAAGUGAUUCCGGCGGAGGAUGGGCAUGCGGCGCAUUAGGCAGUAGGCGGGGUAACGGCCCACCUAACCGACGAUGCGUAGGGGUUCUGAGAGGAAGGUCCCCCACACUGGUACUGAGACACGGACCAGACUCCUACGGGAGGCAGCAG